AUUCUUUAUACUAUAUAAAACAAGAUCAAUAUCUUUGAUUUAAAAUUUUAAUGUCAUAUUAUUACAUUUUGUAAGAUUUUUAUUUUCAGCCGUUGAUUUUGAGCCCCUUCGUUCACUAGGCAAAUGAUAUCGUAAAAUAAUAAAAUUUAUUUUCUAGGUACUUCAAAUACUCUAGAUCAAGUUUAACGGAGCCGAUCGACGAUUCGAAAGUCGCAAUAUCGAAAACGAGCUGGAAGCACGGAAGGCUCCGUGCUUCCGAUAGCAUAGUAGCCUCACUCAUGUUUUGCAAUAUAUGUUAUAUAUUAUAAUGUCUUAUAAAUUUAAUAAAAUAUAUAAUAUAAUUUAAUUAAAUAUAAUAUUUAAUAGAUAACUUUUUUAAAAAAUAUAUAUAGAUAUAAUAUGAAAGUAUUCACUAU
rnacentral:lncRNA from 1 species